GGAAGUUAAGAAACUGUUUUUUAACUUUUAACUAAAAAAGUUAAGAACCGGUUCUUAAAUAAGGACUUUAAAAACCGGUUCUUAAAUAAGGACUUUAAGAACCGGUUCUUAAAUAAGGUAUUUAAGAACCGGUUCUUAACUUUUUUAGCUAAAAGUUAAGAAACAGUUUUUUAACUUCC
rfam:Brassica napus, WGS project CCCW01000000 data, contig: 12562